rnacentral:rRNA from 1 species
UCGCCUGUUUAUCAAAAACAUCGCCUCUUGCUCCCACAUAUGAGGUCCAGCCUGCCCAGUGACAUUGUUCAACGGCCGCGGUAUCCUAACCGUGCGAAGGUAGCGUAAUCACUUGUUCUUUAAAUAAGGACUAGUAUGAAAGGCACCACGAGAGUCAUACUGUCUCCUUUCUCUAAUCAGUGAAACUGAUCUCCCCGUGAAGAAGCGGGGAUAAAAAUAUAAGACGAGAAGACCCUAUGGAGCUUAAAACAAAUAACACUUGCCCCCCCCAACUUCUAAUUUCAGAAAAAUUUUCUACCCGAGCAUCAUGGUUAUUAGUUUUCGGUUGGGGUGACCACGGAGUAAAAAGCAACCUCCGCAAUGAAAGACACUCAUCCACUUAGUUAAGGGCUACAACCCCACACAUCAACAAAUUGACACUAAUUGACCCAACAUGUUGAUCAAUGAACCAAGUUACCCUAGGGAUAACAGCGCAAUCCACUUCAAGAGCCCCUAUCGACAGGUGGGUUUACGACCUCGAUGUUGGAUCAGGGUGUCCUAGUGGUGCAGCCGCUACUAAAGGUUCGUUUGUUCAACGAUUAAAACCCUACGUGAUCUGAGUUCAGACCGGA